UACGGGGGGAGCAAGCGUUGUUCGGAUUUACUGGGCGUAAAGGGCGCGUAGGCGGUCAGCACUAGUCAGUUGUGAAAUCUCCGGGCUUAACUCGGAAAGGUCAACUGAUACUGUGCGACUAGAGUGCGGAAGGGGCAACUGGAAUUCUCGGUGUAGCGGUGAAAUGCGUAGAUAUCUGGAGGAGCACCGGUGGCGAAGGCGGCAUCCUGGACCAUCACUGACACUGAGGAGCGAAAGCCAGGGGAGCAAACGGG
rnacentral:rRNA from 1 species